rnacentral:rRNA from 1 species
GGGUUGUGAGGUUAAGCGACUAAGCGUACACGGUGGAUGCCCUGGCAGUCAGAGGCGAUGAAGGACGUGCUAAUCUGCGAUAAGCGUCGGUGAGGUGAUAUGAACCGUUAUAACCGGCGAUUUCCGAAUGGGGAAACCCAGUGUGUUUCGACACACUAUCAUUAACUGAAUCCAUAGGUUAAUGAGGCGAACCGGGGGAACUGAAACAUCUAAGUACCCCGAGGAAAAGAAAUCAACCGAGAUUCCCCCAGUAGCGGCGAGCGAACGGGGAGGAGCCCAGAGCCUGAAUCAGUGUGUGUGUUAGUGGAAGCGUCUGGAAAGGCGUGCGAUACAGGGUGACAGCCCCGUACACAAAAAUGCACAUAUUGUGAGCUCGAUGAGUAGGGCGGGACACGUGGUAUCCUGUCUGAAUAUGGGGGGACCAUCCUCCAAGGCUAAAUACUCCUGACUGACCGAUAGUGAACCAGUACCGUGAGGGAAAGGCGAAAAGAACCCCGGCGAGGGGAGUGAAAAAGAACCUGAAACCGUGUACGUACAAGCAGUGGGAGCCUCUUAAUGGGGUGACUGCGUACCUUUUGUAUAAUGGGUCAGCGACUUAUAUUCUGUAGCAAGGUUAACCGAAUAGGGGAGCCGAAGGGAAACCGAGUCUUAACUGGGCGUUAAGUUGCAGGGUAUAGACCCGAAACCCGGUGAUCUAGCCAUGGGCAGGUUGAAGGUUGGGUAACACUAACUGGAGGACCGAACCGACUAAUGUUGAAAAAUUAGCGGAUGACUUGUGGCUGGGGGUGAAAGGCCAAUCAAACCGGGAGAUAGCUGGUUCUCCCCGAAAGCUAUUUAGGUAGCGCCUCGUGAAUUCAUCUCCGGGGGUAGAGCACUGUUUCGGCAAGGGGGUCAUCCCGACUUACCAACCCGAUGCAAACUGCGAAUACCGGAGAAUGUUAUCACGGGAGACACACGGCGGGUGCUAACGUCCGUCGUGAAGAGGGAAACAACCCAGACCGCCAGCUAAGGUCCCAAAGUCAUGGUUAAGUGGGAAACGAUGUGGGAAGGCCCAGACAGCCAGGAUGUUGGCUUAGAAGCAGCCAUCAUUUAAAGAAAGCGUAAUAGCUCACUGGUCGAGUCGGCCUGCGCGGAAGAUGUAACGGGGCUAAACCAUGCACCGAAGCUGCGGCAGCGACGCUUAUGCGUUGUUGGGUAGGGGAGCGUUCUGUAAGCCUGUGAAGGUGUGCUGUGAGGCAUGCUGGAGGUAUCAGAAGUGCGAAUGCUGACAUAAGUAACGAUAAAGCGGGUGAAAAGCCCGCUCGCCGGAAGACCAAGGGUUCCUGUCCAACGUUAAUCGGGGCAGGGUGAGUCGACCCCUAAGGCGAGGCCGAAAGGCGUAGUCGAUGGGAAACAGGUUAAUAUUCCUGUACUUGGUGUUACUGCGAAGGGGGGACGGAGAAGGCUAUGUUGGCCGGGCGACGGUUGUCCCGGUUUAAGCGUGUAGGCUGAUUUUCCAGGCAAAUCCGGAAAAUCAAGGCUGAGGCGUGAUGACGAGGCACUACGGUGCUGAAGCAACAAAUGCCCUGCUUCCAGGAAAAGCCUCUAAGCAUCAGGUAACAUCAAAUCGUACCCCAAACCGACACAGGUGGUCAGGUAGAGAAUACCAAGGCGCUUGAGAGAACUCGGGUGAAGGAACUAGGCAAAAUGGUGCCGUAACUUCGGGAGAAGGCACGCUGAUAUGUAGGUGAAGUCCCUCGCGGAUGGAGCUGAAAUCAGUCGAAGAUACCAGCUGGCUGCAACUGUUUAUUAAAAACACAGCACUGUGCAAACACGAAAGUGGACGUAUACGGUGUGACGCCUGCCCGGUGCCGGAAGGUUAAUUGAUGGGGUUAGCGGCAACGCGAAGCUCUUGAUCGAAGCCCCGGUAAACGGCGGCCGUAACUAUAACGGUCCUAAGGUAGCGAAAUUCCUUGUCGGGUAAGUUCCGACCUGCACGAAUGGCGUAAUGAUGGCCAGGCUGUCUCCACCCGAGACUCAGUGAAAUUGAACUCGCUGUGAAGAUGCAGUGUACCCGCGGCAAGACGGAAAGACCCCGUGAACCUUUACUAUAGCUUGACACUGAACAUUGAGCCUUGAUGUGUAGGAUAGGUGGGAGGCUUUGAAGUGUGGACGCCAGUCUGCAUGGAGCCGACCUUGAAAUACCACCCUUUAAUGUUUGAUGUUCUAACGU